UACAAAAUUUAAUAAAGUAUAAAUGCAGGUAAUUAACAAACAUUUAUCAUUAUUACCUAAACUAUUGUCAUCUUCAUACAACAAUGAGCUGUAAAUUUGUGUUUUUGAGUUUUAGGAGUAUGGCUUAUUGGAAGUGUAUUUGCACUUGACCACAGAAAGAACGAGAAGUUAAAUCAAGCAAAUGCUGGAGCAUCCGGGCAACAAGCACAAGGGAACUCGUUGACGGACGACGAAAGACCUGCAAAGGGGUAAAAAACCUUGAUGAGAAAAUAAAAAAAAUUCGGAUGUACAGUUUGGUGGUUGAUAUGAGAACUUUAAAUGACACGUGUGUUCAUAUGAAUUGUAUGAAAUUUGAAUAAAGUAUUAAGACUAUAA